rnacentral:rRNA from 1 species
UACGUAGGGUGCAAGCGUUGUCCGGAAUUAUUGGGCGUAAAGAGCUCGUAGGCGGUUUGUCGCGUCUGCUGUGAAAACUCGGGGCUUAACCCCGGGCCUGCAGUGGGUACGGGCAGACUAGAGUGCGGUAGGGGAGACUGGAAUUCCUGGUGUAGCGGUGAAAUGCGCAGAUAUCAGGAGGAACACCGAUGGCGAAGGCAGGUCUCUGGGCCGAUACUGACGCUGAGGAGCGAAAGCAUGGGUAGCGAACAGG